rnacentral:rRNA from 1 species
GGAGGUAGUGACAAUAAAUCUCAAUACGAAGCCUUUGGUUUUGUAAUUGAAUUGAGAACAAUGUACAAUCGUUAUCGAUAAACAAUUGGAGGGCAAGUCUGGUGCCAGCAGCCGCGGUAAUUCCAGCUCCAAUAGCGUAUAUUAACGUUGUUGCAGUUAAAAAGCUCGUAGUUGAAGUUUAGAUAAUUUGUUGAGAGUGUUAGUAUUCGUACUAUCUGCCCUCAAUAGAUUAUCGACUUCCAGGUAAGCUCAAUAAUCCCUCCGGGGACUAUCGAGCCAGACUGGUCUUUUACUGUGAGAAAAUUAGAGUGUUUAAAGCAGACUUUUAUUUAGUUUGAAUAGAUUAGCAUGGAAUAAUAAGAUUGGCUUUCAUAGUCGAUUUUUUGGUUUGUUUAUGAAAGCAAGAUUAAUAGGGACAGUUGGGGGUAUUCAUAUUCAAUAGCUAGAGGUGAAAUUCUAUGAUUUAUGGAAGAUGAACAAGUGCGAAAGCA